GAUGAACGCUGGCGGCGUGCCUAAUACAUGCAAGUCGAGCGAAUGGAUUAAGAGCUUGCUCUUAUGAAGUUAACGGCGGACGGGUGAGUAACACGUGGGUAACCUGCCCAUAAGACCGGGAUAACUCCGGGAAACCGGGGCUAAUACCGGAUAACAUUUUGAACCGCAUGGUUCGAAAUUGAAAGGCGGCUUCGGCUGUCACUUAUGGAUGGACCCGCGUCGCAUUAGCUAGUUGGUGAGGUAACGGCUCACCAAGGCAACGAUGCGUAGCCGACCUGAGAGGGUGAUCGGCCACACUGGGACUGAAACACGGCCCAGACUCCUACGGGAGGCAGCAGUAGGGAAUCUUCCGCAAUGGACGAAAGUCUGACGGAGCAACGCCGCGUGAGUGAUGAAGGCUUUCGGGUCGUAAAACUCUGUUGUUAGGGAAGAACAAGUGCUAGUUGAAUAAGCUGGCACCUUGACGGUACCUAACCAGAAAGCCACGGCUAACUACGUGCCAGCCGCCGCAGUAA
rnacentral:rRNA from 1 species